rnacentral:rRNA from 1 species
AACCUCCGCAAUGUGAGAAAUCGCGACGGGGGGAUCCCAAGUGCCAUUCUUAACGGGAUGGCUUUUCAUUAGUGUAAAAAGCUUUUGGAAUAAGAGCUGGGCAAGACCGGUGCCAGCCGCCGCGGUAACACCGGCAGCUCUAGUGGUAGCAAUUUUUAUUGGGCCUAAAGCGUCCGUAGCCGGUUUAAUAAGUCUCUGGUGAAAUCCUGUAGCUUAACUGUGGGAAUUGCUGGAGAUACUAUUAGACUUGAGACCGGGAGAGGUUAGAGGUACUCCCAGGGUAGAGGUGAAAUUCUGUAAUCCUGGGAGGACCGCCUGUUGCGAAGGCGUCUAACUGGAACGGUUCUGACGGUGAGGGACGAAAGUUAGGGGCGCGAACCGGAUUAGAUACCCGGGUAGUCCUAACUGUAAACGAUGCGGACUUGGUGUUGGGGUGGCUUUGAGCUGCUCCAGUGCCGAAGGGAAGCUGUUAAGUCCGCCGCCUGGGAAGUACGGUCGCAAGACUGAAACUUAAAGGAAUU